AUAACCUACCUAUAAGACUGGGAUAACUUCGGGAAACCGGAGCUAAUACCGGAUAAUAUUUUGAACCGCAUGGUUCAAAAGUGAAAGACGGUCUUGCUGUCACUUAUAGAUGGAUCCGCGCUGCAUUAGCUAGUUGGUAAGGUAACGGCAUACCAAGGCAACGAUGCAUAGCCGACCUGAGAGGGUGAUCGGCCACACUGGAACUGAGACACGGUCCAG
rnacentral:rRNA from 1 species